rnacentral:rRNA from 1 species
AUGAACGCUAGCUACAGGCUUAACACAUGCAAGUCGAGGGGCAGCAUGGUCUUAGCUUGCUAAGGCCGAUGGCGACCGGCGCACGGGUGAGUAACACGUAUCCAACCUGCCGUCUACUCUUGGACAGCCUUCUGAAAGGAAGAUUAAUACAAGAUGGCAUCAUGAGUCCGCAUGUUCACAUGAUUAAAGGUAUUCCGGUAGACGAUGGGGAUGCGUUCCAUUAGAUAGUAGGCGGGGUAACGGCCCACCUAGUCUUCGAUGGAUAGGGGUUCUGAGAGGAAGGUCCCCCACAUUGGAACUGAGACACGGUCCAAACUCCUACGGGAGGCAGCAGUGAGGAAUAUUGGUCAAUGGGCGAGAGCCUGAACCAGCCAAGUAGCGUGAAGGAUGACUGCCCUAUGGGUUGUAAACUUCUUUUAUAAAGGAAUAAAGUCGGGUAUGCAUACCCGUUUGCAUGUACUUUAUGAAUAAGGAUCGGCUAACUCCGUGCCAGCAGCCGCGGUAAUACGGAGGAUCCGAGCGUUAUCCGGAUUUAUUGGGUUUAAAGGGAGCGUAGAUGGAUGUUUAAGUCAGUUGUGAAAGUUUGCGGCUCAACCGUAAAAUUGCAGUUGAUACUGGAUAUCUUGAGUGCAGUUGAGGCAGGCGGAAUUCGUGGUGUAGCGGUGAAAUGCUUAGAUAUCACGAAGAACUCCGAUUGCGAAGGCAGCCUGCUAAGCUGCAACUGACAUUGAGGCUCGAAAGUGUGGGUAUCAAACAGGAUUAGAUACCCUGGUAGUCCACACGGUAAACGAUGAAUACUCGCUGUUUGCGAUAUACAGCAAGCGGCCAAGCGAAAGCGUUAAGUAUUCCACCUGGGGAGUACGCCGGCAACGGUGAAACUCAAAGGAAUUGACGGGGGCCCGCACAAGCGGAGGAACAUGUGGUUUAAUUCGAUGAUACGCGAGGAACCUUACCCGGGCUUAAAUUGCAGAUGAAUUACGGUGAAAGCCGUAAGCCGCAAGGCAUCUGUGAAGGUGCUGCAUGGUUGUCGUCAGCUCGUGCCGUGAGGUGUCGGCUUAAGUGCCAUAACGAGCGCAACCCUUGUUGUCAGUUACUAACAGGUUCCGCUGAGGACUCUGACAAGACUGCCAUCGUAAGAUGUGAGGAAGGUGGGGAUGACGUCAAAUCAGCACGGCCCUUACGCCCGGGGCUACACACGUGUUACAAUGGGGGGUACAGAGGGCCGCUACCACGCGAGUGGAUGCCAAUCCCAAAAACCUCUCUCAGUUCGGACUGGAGUCUGCAACCCGACUCCACGAAGCUGGAUUCGCUAGUAAUCGCGCGUCAGCCACGGCGCGGUGAAUACGUUCCCGGGCCUUGUACACACCGCCCGUCAAGCCAUGGGAGCCGGGGGUACCUGAAGUGCGUAACCGCGAGGAGCGCCCUAGGGUAAAACUGGUGACUGGGGCU